UCAUUCUCCUUCAGAUUCAUUGCCUUUUAUCAAACUAAAUGCCCAUGACAGUGUUUGAUUACACAAUCCUUUUGGGUUCUGCCUGUUAAUUUUACAGCUCAAGAUCAAGAACAAUGAAUAUACGCGCAAAGCAUUCGUAGAAAAGAUGGCUUACGACACUAUCAAGUUGAAUUCCAACUUUCCAAGUCGACAUGGGGACCCUCGUGAUCUUCUGUGAUAAGGUCGCGAAUUUUCUCUCUCCCUCCACCUUUUUUUCCUUCUUCUUUUGAUCUGCCGACUUGAAUCGACCUUAUUUGCUUGCCCUGUUUCACAAUGUCCUUAGAUUUUUCGAUUUGUCAGGACCCAUUAAAACUAUUUGGGGUGAAUUAGAUCAAAAUGGGAUUUCAUGAAUACCCACCGUGGAUUAGAAAUAUUUCUUUUUGGAUCUUGCACACCAUGUGUUUGAUGUAAGUUCUGACACUUUUUUUUCAUAAGCUUUUUAUGAUGCAGGGUGUGUCAGAGGAGGAGAAAGCAGCAGUUGUAUAAGGUAACUCGACUGAGAUUUUGUACUGAAAACAUAAUACCAAACGUCAUUUCUGGUAAAAAUAUGCGACCGUUGUGCCUUUUAGCAUGUGAUAGGUGUUAGUUUAACCAAUUGGGCUUUGCAUGGACUUUCCUUAUCUUUUUUUUUCUUCAUUUUUUUUUUGAAGUGGUAUGAAAAGCUAGCUAGCAUCGAAAAGCCAACAUGCCAGCUCAAAAAGCUUCAAAAUCAUAGCCUCGCCAUUUCAGAUUGAGGAAAAGUAGGAAUCUAUAGUGCCAUGAUUCAAAAGUUGUCUUGGGAUCCAUUUUCAAGAGCUAGCUUUUUCUGUGCUUUCUUCUUCUUAUUUAUUUUAUAGUUACUUUUUUAUGGGGUGGGGGAGUUGGUUAAGAAAACCAAUACAACUUUUUAAAUUAUGUCACCUCUAUUCAUAUUAACAGUUGUUUUAACUAAUUAGCAAAUGAGAUUCAUAAGUAUGCCCUUUCUCGUAUGGGCUAUUUUUGCUGGGUUGAUCCUCUCCCUCAACGUAUUUAGGACAUUUGUAGGACGGAUGUUGUUUCUCUUCCAUUUACUUGAGGUUUGAUUCGGCUUAGACAUUCCUAGAGUGAGUAGGUUUACCAUUUCUCGAAAUCUCUUUUGAAUUCAAGAUUGUGGUGUAACGUGUAUCCCUUUUAUUUAGGUCAUGGAGUAAAUGAAAUAAAUAUAAAAAGGGUAUUUGUUUAAGAAUUAAAUUUUAUUGGAAUUAUCCAUAUCUAGUUCAUCUUUUGGAACCCCAUCCUAUCUCGGAUAGGAUGAAAUAGUAUGAUGCAAUAUUUCUUUCUAAAAAAAUCAGCAAACUUCUUCUCGUGUUUCCUCUAAGUAUUAACCGUAACAUACAUUUUAUUUUCCAUUUUACUAUGCUCAACUGCAUAACCCUGAAAUAAAAGGGUUUUUUUGUUGGGGGAGAAAAACUUAAAAUUACAUCAGCACGCUAUAUUUUAAUUACUAAAAUCAAGAAAAGGACGAAUAUUAAUCCUCAUUAUACUCUGCAAUGUACCAUGACCAUCAGCUUUCAUAUUAUUAUAAUUCUAAUUUUUGUUUUGAUUUUUAACUCUUGGCAUUUUUAUUGAGCUAAUUCUUAUAACAAGGCUUGUUUUGCAAGAAACUAACCUUUCUUAAGUGGCUUUCUAGGGAGUGGGACAUAUUUCAAAAGGCAUUUCGUUUGCCCUUUUUCCUAAAGUAACCAAACCUAAGAUCCUUUUAUGUUUUUAUUUUUUAUUUUUUUUAUGUUAAUAGGUUCUUUUAUUCUUUCUGAUGCACCUUGGAUGACUCAGAGAACAAAAAGUAAGAUUCACCAACAAUUUUUCGAUUCCUUUAAAUAUAUCUGUGGAACCGAAAAACAACACACUAGUCAUUAAGCAAACAUCUCUUCCUUAUUGCUAGUGAAGAACAUUCUAGGUGAGUGGCUGCAGAGAUCAAGCCAUUCCAAGCAAGAGAAUUUGUAUAGCUGAUUUUAUUUAUCAUUAAUCCAAUAUGGAGACUUCACUGCAGAGACAUGUUAUUGGAAUUCCAGUUUAUUCAGCAGCACUGCAGUUUGAGCAAUCAGUUAAGAGCCUCUUACCUGAUCUUGCUGGCCAGUACAAUAUCCCCUCUUCAGACAGUAGAAAAUAUCCGGCACUGAAACAAUGUAGUCAAGAUGCCCCAUUGGCAAGAGCUUGGGGUCUCUUGGUCCUACUGGUUUAGAGAUCUCGAGUUUAAACUUUUGGAUGUGUUUAAUACCAAAAAUCCUUGAUUUAUCUUGGAACUAGGCCUUGGGGCGGGCACGGGUGCCUCUGGAUAUAGGGGAGCAAAGCUCUGACUCCCGAUUCCAGAAAAAAGAAAAAGAAGUCAGUGCUUGGCAAGUUAACAAAACUUGGUAAAGGAACACAGACAGCUUCGAACAUGGACAGUGAGUUUGUUUUCUUCUGCUUAGUUAGUUUUUCAAGAAUCUCAAACACUUGUGAUAUGGAGCACAAAUAAUUGGGAUGAUAAAACGAUUUACUUUUUUCCAUUCGUUGCGAAGUCGAAGUGAGCUGUUUGGAAUGGAAGUUUGAUAGAAACUUUUAUCUGUUUAUGGAACCACAGUGAGACUAGGAUCCAAGAUCACAGAAACUGUGAAGGGAAAGUUGAGCUUGGGAGCUAAAAUUCUUCUAGCAGGUGGAUUAAGGAAAAUCUACAGGCAUUGCAAUAUGGUGGGCAGCUUCAAAUAUAGAAAUUAUUAGAUGCUGGGAAUGCCACUUUUUUGCCUUUGUUUCAAUCAUGUUUCUCUCAUUGUCAAUGAAAAAUAAAGCCACAAUGGAGGAAAUUUUUAAGUUUCUGUAUAGGCUGUAGGCAGCUAAGGAACAAAAGUGGUAAGCAGUUUAUGAAUGGAUAGAAAGGACAUAUUUUUACA